rnacentral:rRNA from 1 species
AGUGAACGCUGGCGGUAGGCCUAACACAUGCAAGUCGAACGGCAGCACAGUAAGAGCUUGCUCUUACGGGUGGCGAGUGGCGGACGGGUGAGGAAUACAUCGGAAUCUACUUUUUCGUGGGGGAUAACGUAGGGAAACUUACGCUAAUACCGCAUACGACCUACGGGUGAAAGCAGGGGAUCUUCGGACCUUGCGCGUUUGAAUGAGCCGAUGUCGGAUUAGCUAGUUGGCGGGGUAAAGGCCCACCAAGGCGACGAUCCGUAGCUGGUCUGAGAGGAUGAUCAGCCACACUGGAACUGAGACACGGUCCAGACUCCUACGGGAGGCAGCAGUGGGGAAUAUUGGACAAUGGGCGCAAGCCUGAUCCAGCCAUACCGCGUGGGUGAAGAAGGCCUUCGGGUCGUAAAGCCCUUUUGUUGGGAAAGAAAAGCAGCAGGUUAAUACCCCGCUGUUCUGACGGUACCCAAAGAAUAAGCACCGGCUAACUUCGUG